UGAGAAGCUGAUGUGAAGCGUAGAGAGGUCAGGCUUCCACGGUUCCCUUCCCAGCCCCCUCUGCUGCUCUGAAAUUGACGUGAGUACGGCAGACCUGGAGGGAGAACCUCCCCGCUCACCCCACCACCGCCCCCCCACGCCCCCUCCACCACGCCCUCUUGACACUGCGCCUGCGCACUCAGGAGGUCCGCCAUCCCAUGUGGCUCUGGGGCGGGGCGUGUGGCUGAGUAGGAGGGCCGGAAACCUGCGCCCAGCAUUCUGCGCAUGCUCAUGUGAGCCUACCAUUUCCCACACGCCACCGGGGCAGCGUGGGCAGGAAGAGCACACGUGCCAAGAUGGAGGGCUCUGAACCUCGGGGUGUCAAAAAGUUAGGAAACUGCUGAAUUAUAACCUUGGACCAUAAAGGGAAACACCUCUCACAUUGACAGAAUCUACCAGGAGAACCAUCUACAACUCUACAUUGUGUUGUCAUCUCACAGAUCUCUUCAUUCACAGUUCAUUUUCCAAGUUACCUUUAGAAGCGAAGACAUUUGCUGGUUAGAAAAGGGCAAAGA